UUUAAAUAGCAAAAUUAUGCUACAUGUUUAAAAUAUGUCUGUAUCCUGAAAGUACUUAUUGUAAGCUUAAGCCCAGUCUUAUUUCUAAAAAGAUAAUUUGUAGGAGGUAUAAUUUUCAUUUGUAUUCAUGUAUAUUAAUAUAUUUUUUGGUGUUACACUGUUGCAUGAGGAUAGCUGUAAGGUCAGGAUAUUUAGGAAACCUCUGAAUUGAACAUUGAGCUUGUGGAUCUAAUAUUUAAGUAACUGGUUUCUGUCUACGUACUCUUUUCUCUUCCGUGGUAAGCCCUGCAGGCAAGCUCACUUCUCUAUGUUCUCAGUUGUAAAUGAGGAAAGUAGGACGAGGUAUGGAGCUGGAGGGUAAAUGGCAGAAUAGAAGACAGAGUGCCAUUCUAGUCCUGGAUAGAGAAGCUCUUGAACCACAACCACAACCAUUACCUUGGAGAUGUCGAAACUGCCCUUUUCCCCGAGACCAUCAUUAGUGCUUUCCACGAACCUGGAUGAUAACCUCACGUUCACCUUUC
rnacentral:lncRNA from 1 species